GAUCGAACGGCGUGGCGGCGUGCGUUAACACAUGCAAGUCGAACGGAGUGCCUUUAGAAGAGGAUUCGUCCAAUUGAUAAGGUUACUUAGUGGCGGACGGGUGAGUAACGCGUGAGGAACCUGCCUUGGAGUGGGGAAUAACACAGUGAAAAUUGUGCUAAUACCGCAUAAUGCAGUUGGGCCGCAUGGCUCUGACUGCCAAAGAUUUAUCGCUCUGAGAUGGCCUCGCGUCUGAUUAGCUAGUUGGUGGGGUAACGGCCCACCAUGGCGACGAUCGGUAGCCGGACUGAGAGGUUGAUCGGCCACAUUGGGACUGAGACACGGCCCAG
rnacentral:rRNA from 1 species